rnacentral:lncRNA from 1 species
GAAACGGAAGUCCGAAAAAAAAAAGGUAAACCUCCUAUUGGGAGCAGCAUAACUCCUCCCAUUUUCCUCCAUUAAACACCACCAAAAUCUAGCCCCAAAUUUAGCCAUGAUUCACCUCUAAAUUCCAGCAAAGUCCAGCCAAAAAGCCUCCACUAAACCACCUUAAACGCUCACAAAACCAGCUGUAGCACCAACAUGAAACCCAUUGGUUAUAGCCGAUACUUCUCAGUCCAACAUCUCCAUCCAUAGCUUCAGUCGGGUUCAAUUUUGUAGUUCGAUCUCGCCCGUGAGAUCUCCGUUCGCAAGCUCCGGUUGCAGUCCAAAUUUCUGUCGAAGUUUCGUCACCGACUUCUCGAUCUUUAUUUGAUUUCUUGGCUUCCUUGUUAAGUAUUUGGUUUGGAAAUUUCUGUUGAUUACAAAAGGUCCAUCCCUUUUCUCUUUACAAAGUUACUUAUGAAUAUUGAAAUUGAUUUCCAGACUAGUUCUUAAUUGAUGUGCUUUAUUUAUAGAUUGUGUUUGUAUGCUUUGAGAUCUGUUACUUCGCUUAUAUUUGAUGUGGGUUUUCAUUCCACUAUUAUUUAGGAAUAGGAAGAAACGAAGUCAAUCAAUUGGUUCCAAAUUUGAAGGUUUAGUUCUUUUAUAUACAUAUAGUCUUGGUAGCCUUUAGUACUCCCUCCGUUUCAAUUUAUGUGAAUUUAUUUGACUGGACAUGAAAUUUAAGAAUAAAAAUAUAAACUUUUAAAAUUUAUGAUCCUAAUCAAGUCCAAAUGGACCCCGGAGUAUUUGUUAUUAGGGAUAUAGUAGAUAUACCCUAGAUCCAAUAUCAAUUUGAUAACUUGAACAUAUUUUUGU